rnacentral:rRNA from 1 species
UACGUAGGGGGCAAGCGUUGUCCGGAUUUAUUGGGCGUAAAGAGCGUGUAGGCGGCCUGGAAGGUCAGCUGUGAAAACUCGAGGCUCAACCUCGAGACGUCGGUUGAAACCACCUGGCUAGAGUCCGGAAGAGGAGAGUGGAAUUCCCGGUGUAGCGGUGAAAUGCGCAGAUAUCAGGAGGAACACCUAUUGCGAAGGCAGCUCGCUGGGACGUAACUGACGCUGAGACGCGAAAGCGUGGGGAGCAAACAGG